rnacentral:lncRNA from 1 species
GGCAUGUGGAGGUUCCCAGGCUAGGGGUCCAAUCAGAGCUGCAGCUGCCGGCCUCCACCACAGCCACAGCAAUGCCAGAUGAGAGCCGCAUCCGCGACCUACCCCACAGCUCAUGGCAACGCUGGAUCCUUAACUCACUGAGCGAGGUCAGGGAUCGAACCUGCAACCUCAUGGUUCCUAGUCAGAUUCAUUUCUGCUGCGCCACGACAGGAACUCCUCACUUUCAGAAUUCAACUAUGCUUUUUACCUCCUGGGUUACAAGAUCUACACCGCAGUUCACCGUCCUAAGCCUCAAACAAAAGCCCAAAUUCCAACUUCCUGCUGCCCUCACUAAAGAGGAUUAUUCUCAUUGCACCACACACCUCUAAUACCCGCGAUCAAACGCUCUAAUUCUUAACACAAUCCGGCAGGAAACUGCUACUACUGAGCUCCACUUAGGAGGAAAAACAGCAACAUUUUUGGCACUGGCACAGAACUAAGGAAAAAAUCUACGAAACUGACAAAACCGAACCUCAACACCCUUGCAAUGGAGUAACCAUUACAGCGGAGCGCCACGUCUGAAGAAGAGCCACCGUCCUUGGACUGAGGGGUAAGGGCAAAGGGAGUAGAGGAAAGUGUCCACAAAGGCCGUGGGUCAGGACAGUGACAUGAGGAGGUGCAAAUGUGGCUCAGCCCAGAGGCCACGCGCCGGCGUGCGCGUGCAGCAUGCGGCCCCAGCAGAGCACGGGCACGUGGUCCCACCCCUCGCCCCUCGGAGUAGCCUGUCCAUGUCUGGGGCAACAGUGGAGACCCGUUCCUCAGAACUAGACUGAGCUCUAGUCCCACUGAGAUGGUCCCGGCACAGGACCUUGUCACAUCGGCCUGACCUCUAGGGUCUGCUUCCAAAUAAUGUGCCACCCAAAUGACGCUUUCCAGAGAAAAGAAAAUCAUGGACAUGGAGAAGAAACUCGGAGCGGGAGGGACUGGGAGUCUGGGGUUGACAGAUGCAAACGACUGCCUUUGGAGUGGACAAGCAAUGAGGGCCUGCCGUACAGCACUGGGAACGGCAUCUAGUCCCUUGUGACGGAGCAUGAUCAUGUGAGAACAAGAAUGUAUACAGGUAUGUGUGAUUGGGUCACCUCGCUGCACAGGAGAAAACUGACAGAACACUGUAAACCGGCUAUAAUGGGAAAAAUAAAAAUCAUUAUAAAAAUUAAAAAAAAAAUAAUGUGCCAUCUCUGUCUCUCUUAACAAAGCACCACAGAGCAGGCAGCUAAGGAUCCAGUGGUGUCACUGCAGCAGCCUAGGUGGCUGCUGUGGCAUGGGUUCAAUCCCCAACCCAGGAACUUCCACAUACGACAGGCGCAGCCAAAAAACACAAAAAAGAAAGAAAGCGGACCCAAUGUUGUCUCUGUGAGGAUGGGGGUUCGAUCCCUGGCCUCGCUCAGUAGGUUAAGGAUCUGGUGUUACUGUGAGCUUCAGUGUAGGUUGCAGAUGCAGCUCGGAUCAGAUCCCACAUUGCUGCUACUGUGGUGUAGGCCUCACUCAGCUGCAGCUCCAAUUCAACCCCUAGCCUGGGAACUUCCAUAUGCCGCAGGUGCGGCCCUAAAACAGAAAAAAGAAAGAGCAAGCACCACUUCCGAAGGAGGAGCUAGUGAUGCAAGCGUGACGGCCGCUGGAAGAACAAGGAAAAAGGCGGCCCUUUCCCCUCCCCACUUUCCUUGGAUGAGAAAACUGGAGGCCACCGCAUCCUCGGGACAGAGCCUCCGUGCCUGCCCAGUGCAACUCUCACAAGCGUCCCAUCUUAAUACAUCUAUUUCUUGCCUAAGCAAGCACCACAGAGCAGGCAGCGACGGCAACUCGUCUGUUCUGUCCGAGUCCUCGAGGCUGGAGUUCCGAGCCCAGGGUGUCGCGGGGCUGGGCUGUCCUCAGCCUGGGGACGGCCAUCUCCUCCCGGCUCCCCAACUGUCCUCGCCCCGAGUGCGCAGCCCUGGUGCCUCUUUGCCCAAACUGCCCUUCCUUGAAGGACAGCAGUCACGUGGGCUAGGGCCCACCCUAGUGCCCUCUUUUAUUUAUCCUUCGUCCCCUCUUUAGAGGCCUCUCCCCAAACACAGACGCCUCCCGAGGCGCUGGGGUCAGGGCUUCGCCACCGACCUCGGUGGGGCAGUGGGGGGCACAGCUCAGCGCAUGACCCCCAGGGAGCAGGUGCGGGUGAGGAAAACGUGUUCUGAGACGAGCUGCCCAGGCGUGGCCGUAUUUAACACUGGGGCGUGGGGCCGUCAUCAGAAGAUUUUCUUGGGAGUUCCCGUCGUGGCUCCGUAGUAAUGAACCCGACUGGCAUCCAUGAGGUUGGGGGUUCAAUCCCUGGCCUGGCUCAGUGGGUGAAAGUCCUGGUGUUGCCAUGAGCUGGGGUGUAGGUCACAGAUGCAGCUCCGAUCUCACGUUGCUGUGGCUGUGGUGUAGACCAGCAGAUGCAGCUCCGAUUUGACCCCUAACCUGGGAACUUCUACAUGCCGCGGGUGCGGCGCUAAAAAAAAAGAAAAAAAGCAAUUUAGGUUGUCACCAGCAGUUUAAAAAUAAAAACAGAAUUAAAAAAAAAAAAAAUCAGAGUGCAUUGCUUAUAGUGAGAAUUGUUUUUUUAAACUUUCAUCUCGGCCAUACAAACAUUUACACACACGCGUGUACCCCUGGAGAAGGUACAGCUGCCUGAGGGCUGGUCUAAUUCAAGCUCCCAGCUCCUCACAGGCACUAGAGCUAAGGGAUGAUUUGCUAGUUACGUGAGCUGACACCCAGGGUCCAUG